AUGAACGCUGGCGGCGUGCCUAAUACAUGCAAGUCGAGCGAACAGAUGAGGAGCUUGCUCCUCUGACGUUAGCGGCGGACGGGUGAGUAACACGUGGAUAACCUACCUAUAAGACUGGGAUAACUUCGGGAAACCGGAGCUAAUACCGGAUAAUAUAUUGAACCGCAUGGUUCAAUAGUGAAAGACGGUUUUGCUGUCACUUAUAGAUGGAUCCGCGCCGCAUUAGCUAGUUGGUAAGGUAACGGCUUACCAAGGCAACGAUGCGUAGCCGACCUGAGAGGGUGAUCGGCCACACUGGAACUGAGACACGGUCCAGACUCCUACGGGAGGCAGCAGUAGGGAAUCUUCCGCAACGGGCGAAAGCCUGACGGAGCAACGCCGCGUGAGUGAUGAAGGUCUUCGGAUCGUAAAACUCUGUUAUUAGGGAAGAACAAAUGUGUAAGUAACUAUGCACGUCUUGACGGUACCUAAUCAGAAAGCCACGGCUAACUACGUG
rnacentral:rRNA from 1 species